AAAGUAGGGGUGCAUGACUAUUUUGUUAUCUGGAAAGUACUAGAAAGUGUCCUUUAUUUUCGUACUUGCAAAUUUUAAAGGCAAAUGAACAAGGUUUCAUACCAAACUAAUAUUUCCAAAUAUUUAUUUGAUUCUUGUAUGAUCUAGACUUUUAUCUGCAAGAAAAAAUAUAUUUAUGGAGCAAAACAUAUGUUUAUAUUGUGCUCUACAUCUUGAAAAGUGCACAGGUCUCAGCAGAAAAGUAUAUUUGUUUGUUUAAAGGGAAGAUGAUAUUUCAAAAAGAAACAUAAAUCGUAGUGGGUCAUUCAGACACAUUCUUGUAGAUUUGGGCCAAAGUUUAUGAAUUGGGGCAUUUUUCCUAUUUUUAUUACCUCCCCUUGAUGCUCUUCAUUUAGGAAAUCACAAAGAGCUUAUCUAAGUUUACUUCCUGGAUUAUGCUGAAUUCAGAUUUCUACUCGGAUUUUGCAAAUUUUUAGUAUAUAGAUACAAUGACAGUCAGAGAUUUUAUGCUAAAUGGGCAUGGGAUGCUUGGAUGUGUCCCUUCAAACCAAGUCCACGUUUAAAAUUUGCUGAAUAGCGACAUUGUUUGGGAAAAAUACUCUGGCAGAAAAGAGUCUAAACUGUGGAUCUAUAUAUAUAGACAUCAGUCUGACAUCUGUGUGUUUAUUUCCAUAAGUGAAGUUUGUAUCAACUGACUGAAGGAUCAGUGUUAAAGGAUAACACUACAAUGAAAACAGCUGUGAGUUGUUUCUUUUGAAAAUGACUGCUUGAUGAUAAAGUUUCAAACAACUAUGAAGUGAGUGGAUGUUCUAGAGAGACUAAUUCUUCAAAGAAUGAAUGAUCAUCAUCAUGCUUAUAUUGGAAUAAAAGGAAGGAAGUGACAGCUGCAGUCAGGGUAAAAGUAAAUGCAGUCAGAAGACCUCUGAUAUCACCUGAAGAGCCAGCCUUCUCAAGAUUCUGUAUCAAAUAAAAAUAACAAGGACUGCUAAAAAGACUUUUUAUAACUUUCAAAUGUGCAGCCUGUGACACAAGUUUGAAAUGCAGUAUGUCAUUGUGAAGGCAAAAUGUUUAUGAAAAUAGUGUGUGUGUGUCUAUUCCCAAAUAGAGAGGCUGAAAGUGGGGAAUCAUCAAUUAGUGUUUUUGGAAUAAGUUAUGGACAUCUGAAUAGUAAAGAUCUGUCCCUUUUUUGGAUUGCCACAGACCAAAAUAAUGAUUGGUGCCUUUGACAUAAAUAGAAGAACUCACACUGGACACCCUGAAGAUGGAAUUACAAGAAUGUAUGUUGUUUGCAUUAAUGCUUUUUUUUUCAGAUUUAUGGAAAAACAAUUAGAAUGUCAUUUCUUAAAAAUGUUGAUAGUUGUUUAACCAAAGGCCCUGUAAUUGAAAAAUAUCUUUAUUCUUGACUUUAUCAUGUUUAUAUUAAAAUAAAAAAAUUUGAUACUGUUUGAUUACUUUUGCAUGUAUAACAUUAAAUUUGUUAUAUUUAAGUUUGAUAAAAUUUAAUGUAUUUUGAAAAAGAUGCACUUGAACAUAUCUAAAUGGAAUAAACACAUGACAGUCUUUGAAUAUCUGUAAAAAAGCACAUAUUUUGCAGUUCUCAUCAGAUUUGGUUACCAAUUUACAGCAUAAUUAUACAUGAAGGCUUAUUACUCAAACAUAUGCAGAUCUAAUUGUAUAUUUUCUACCAUAAAUAAUUUCAUUUCAUAUAGAUUUUUUAAAUCUUUAAAAAAUACUGAGAAAAUAUAGCAAAACAAUGGUUGAAUUAGUAUUCUUGAUUUUGUGAGACUGUUGAAAUAUUACAAUUCUUUUUCCCUCUUAAGCCUGUAUCAUAAAAUCAUAUUUUCUGAUGAAAUUUAUUUUUUAAGAAUGUUGCAAUGCAGAUUUUAAUGAAAAUUCAUACAUUUGUAAAGUUACCUAUAUUGUGUUAGGUAAUAACUUAAGCCCAUAUAUACUAAUUGGCCAAUGAUUGAAGAGAACAUCUGAGUUUCUAGCUGACUUUCUGACUAAUUUAAGACCUCAUUCAUGUAACAACAUCUAUUAAUCUUCAGAAAUCCAGUAACAUUGUCAUCUGUAAAACAGGUUUCAUUCUAAGAUAUACAAGGCAUAUAACAUCCUAUUUUACCAGCAUGUAUUUACUUUAAUAAAUAAAGUAGAUUUAGUUGUGUAUUUUGAUAAAUUUUGGAAAAAGCAUUAGGAGAUAUUUCUGCAACUGCAGUUUGUAUUAACUGAGUAUUUACUGGCACUGGAAUGUGCAUGAUCAGGGUUUUUCUGAAUAAACUUAGUAAAGUCUUAAAUCUACAUUAUCUAUAGCUAUCCGUAAAAAGUCUGGCCAUUGUCUUGAUAGUUUGAAAGAAUUAAAUACAUUUGAGCCGCACCAUGAGAAAACCAACAUAUUGGCUUUGCGACCAGCAUAGAUCCAGAGCAGCCCGCGCAGUAUGGUCAGGAUCCAUCCUGUUCGCUUUCAAAGCAUAUUGCAAUUAGAGAAACUGUUAGUGAACAGCAUGGAUCCUGACCAGACUGCACUGAUGCACAGGCUGGUAUGGAUCCAUUCUGGUCGCAAACUCACUAUGUUGGUUUUCUCAUGGCGCGGCUCAUUUAAAGUUGUAUCUAGCAAAAUAUUGA